rnacentral:snoRNA from 1 species
GGGAUUCGAAAGUAGGCAUUAUUCUGGUGAUUGAAGCAAUCGCAAAUUUAAACUGAUGUUGCUGAAGGA